UAGAAUAAUGUAAUGAUGUAUUAUAACCCUUUAUAUCCAUCCCACUAUGUCCAGCUUUAAAUUUCAAUAUGCAGAUGACAUAGCAUUGGCUUACCAGUGUGAGGACAUGAAUCUAGGGAGUACUGACCAAUAAUCUAAAAAUAAUGAGUGAUUAGUUUUAUAAAUGGAGACUGAAUCUCAACCCCAAAUGUGUGCUUUCCAUUAAUAUUAUAGAGGAAUGUAUCAAGAACUACAUGUUUA